rnacentral:lncRNA from 1 species
UAUAUUAUCCAAGUUCUGGACAAUGGUAUGAAUUACUCUAACAAUCGGAAGAGGAGGGAAUGUUAAAAAUCUGAACCCAUUCAGAAUGAGGUGAAGGGAAGAAAGACAAAUCCAAUAAAUAUAUGUUGUCAGUAUAUAAACUACAAACUAAUGAAUGCUCACGGAAUGUGCUCAGGAGGUUUAAAUUUACUUAUUACAGUUUAAUGUCAUGUUUCAGAAAUACACAUUAGAACCAGAGAGAACACUGAACCAGUACAGACUGAGUCUGCAUUUCAGAGGAGAACAGGAAGAGCAGGGCUUCUAGCCCUGGACUACCUCAGACACAACCUUAGAGGCCUUGAGGAAGCUCUGGCCACUCACCUGGCUCCGCUGUCCCUCACCUCACGCGCAAUCCAGCCCUUCCUUAUGGAAUCGCAUAAUCUAAACUCUGGUCUCUCUGCUCCAUCUCCAGCAAUGGCUUUUCUAACUGGCAU